rnacentral:ncRNA from 1 species
AAAAGACUUAGUCCUAACCUUACCGUUGAUUAUUGCCAAACAUAUACAUGCAAGUAUCCACACCCCAGUGAACAUUUCCAUGCAGGUAUCCGCACUCCAGUGUAAAUGCCCCAAACGUCUUACAAAGACAAAAGGAGCAGGUAUCAGGCACACCCAACCGCAGCCCAAGACACCUUGCCCAGCCACACCCCCACGGGUACUCAGCAGUAAUUAACAUUAAGCAAUAAGUGUAAACUUGACUUAGUUAUGGCAAAUUUAGGGCUGGUUAAUCUUGUGCCAGCCGCCGCGGUCAUACAAGAAACCCAAACCAACGGCAGCACGGCGUAAAGAGUGACAUAGCUAUAUCACCCCAAGCUAAGACCGAAGCACAACUGAGCUGUCAUAAGCACAAGAUGUGCAGAAGAACCCCAAAAAGAUCUCAGCCAACACGACCUAAUUACUGUCACGAAAGCUAAGACACAAACUGGGAUUAGAUACCCCACUAUGCUUAGCCCUAAAUCUUGGCACUUCCCCAACUAAAGUGUCCGCCUGAGAACUACGAGCACAAACGCUUAAAACUCUAAGGACUUGGCGGUGCCCCAAACCCACCUAGAGGAGCCUGUUCUACAAUCGAUAACCCACGCUACACCCGACCGCUCUUUGCCUACUCAGCCUACAUACCGCCGUCGUCAGUCCACCUAUCCUGAGAGAACAGCAGUGAGCACAAUAGCCCUAACCACGCUAAAAAGACAGGUCAAGGUAUAGCCCAUAGAGCGGGAGAAAUGGGCUACAUUUUCUAACCUAGAAAAUCACGAAAGGGGAUAUGAAACCCUCCCCAGAAGGAGGAUUUAGUAGUAAAGUUGGAUCACAGCGCCACCUUAAAACUGGCCCCGGGGCACGUACAUACCGCCCGUCACCCUCCUCGCAAGCCAUCUGCACAGGUAAGUAACACCAACCCAUAGCCAAAGAUGAGGUAAGUCGUAACAAGGUAAGUGUACCGGAAGGUGUACUUAGUAUACC